rnacentral:rRNA from 1 species
GUAGGGGGGCAAGCGUUGUCCGGAUUAUUGGGGCGUAAAGAGCACGUAGGCGGUUUGCCAAGUCAGAUGUGAAAUCCCGCAGCUUAACUGCGGAACUGCAUUUGAUACUGGCAGGCUAGAGUACAGGAGAGGGAAGCGGAAUUCCUAGUGUAGCGGUGAAAUGCGCAGAUAUUAGGAAGAACACCGGUGGCGAAGGCGGCUUCCUGGACUGUUACUGACGCUGAGGUGCGAAAGCUAGGGGAGCAAACAGGAUUAGAUACCCUGGUAGUCCUAGCCGUAAACGAUGGGCACUAGGUGUAGGGGGUAUCAACUCCCCCUGUGCCGCAGCUAACGCAUUAAGUGCCCCGCCUGGGGAGUACGGUCGCAAGACUA